UUUGAUUUUUGAUUAUGGGCCCAGUUUUCAAGAUGGUCCAAAUCAGGAUUCCAUAUCAAGUAUUGUGCAAUAGCAAGAAAUUUUCAAUUGCACAGUAUUGCACAAUAGCAAGAAAUAUCUAAUUGCACAAUAUUGUGCAAUAGCAAUUAAUUUUCAAUUAUCAGUUAUCUUUCUUUGUAUAGAAUAGUAGUUGAUAAUAUAUGUUGGAAAUUUGCCAGACA
rnacentral:lncRNA from 1 species